rnacentral:rRNA from 1 species
CCUGGCGGCGUAGCGCGGUGGUCCCACCUGACCCAUGCCGAACUCAGAAGUGAAACGCCGUAGCGCCGAUGGUAGUGUGGGGUCUCCCCAUGCGAGAGUAGGGAACUGCCAGGC